CGCAUAUUGCGCCCCUUGGUAUUCCGAGGGGCAUGCCUGUUCGAGCGUCAUUAUCACCCCUCAAGCCUAGCUUGGUGUUGGACUUGACCGUACUUUAGCUAUGGUCGGUCUCAAAAAUAGUGACGGCGCCCUAGAAGGAACCGGUACGAGGAGCUUUUAACCAAGCAUGUACACGGCAGGAUUCUACGGCGACGGUCUUUUACUUAUUAAGUGUUGACCUCGGAUCAGGUAGGAAUACCCGCUGAACUUAA
rnacentral:misc_RNA from 1 species